CCUACGGGUGGCAGCAGUGAGGAAUAUUGGUCAAUGGGCUUACGCCUGAACCAGCCAAGUCGCGUGAGGGAAGACUGCUCUAUGGGUUGUAAACCUCUUUUGUCAGGGAGCAACGCCGGCUACGUGUAGCCGGACUGAGAGUACCUGAAGAAAAAGCAUCGGCUAACUCCGUGCCAGCAGCCGCGGUAAUACGGAGGAUGCGAGCGUUAUCCGGAUUUAUUGGGUUUAAAGGGUGCGUAGGCGGAAUGCCAAGUCAGCGGUAAAAGCGCGGGGCUCAACCUCGCUCCGCCGUUGAAACUGGCGUGCUUGAGUGGGCGAGAGGUAUGCGGAAUGCGUGGUGUAGCGGUGAAAUGCAUAGAUAUCACGCAGAACUCCGAUUGCGAAGGCAGCAUACCGGCGCCCAACUGACGCUGAAGCACGAAAGCGUGGGUAUCGAACAGGAUUAGAUACCCCAGUAGUC
rnacentral:rRNA from 1 species